AUGAGAUGCCAUAGUGGAUUCCAUAGUCAAACAACUAAAAUGUUGCUAAAAAUUUGCUCCCUGCUUUCAAGCUGGAGACAAAAUUCACUUGGAACUGUCUAAAAAACAAGUCACAAGGUUUGAGAACAGUCUGUCAAUGCUCUCUCCAAGCACAAGUUAAACCUUGACUUUCAUCUUAAUUUCCAGACAUCAGUCUCCCAGACUUCACUGAGUUUCCAGUUGCUGGCUUCCUUUUGGAUCUCUCUUGGGCACCAAGAAAGUCAGAACCUCAUUCAUCAGCUAUAAUCCUGAGAUCAGCUUCUCUUUUCCACAUGGAUGCUUUGGACCUGAGGAAGUUUGGACUCCUGGCCUCUCUCUGCAAUCCAUCCCAUGAAGUCAUCUGGCAGUCCCUAGAUGAGGUGAUGCUGAAGACACUGUGUGCACCUUGGACCAGCAUAGAAGGAUAAAACGAAGAUGGUGGGAGAAAAGAACGUGGUGAGAGCUCACUGCCGGGUGACUGCACUGCCCACCUGCCUUCUCCUCAG
rnacentral:lncRNA from 1 species